GUUAAGGUGUAACUUAACACAGAGGAACCAAUCUCUUCCUGGAGGGAGUUUUCCAAGCAAAAGGUUCCGAUGCCUAAGGAUGUGUGAACAUCAGAGGUGGUAGCCGUCACUGCCUUAAGAGAGUUGAAAUAAAGAAACAAAAAUAUAUUCUGUUGGGGCAAGUCUGAAGUUACAUUUGUCUUCAAUUUUUGUAACUCAGCAUAGGUGUCCUGAAGGGAAUUUGAAGCUCCAUUGAAUAUCGCCAGCUGAAGAUUGUCCAGAGUAUCUAAAAUGUCCAAAUUUCUAAUGGGUCUUUUGUGAGAAUCGUGCAACUAACAAAAUGACAUCAUUUCUC
rnacentral:lncRNA from 1 species